GGGGAAUUUUGGACAAUGGGCGCAAGCCUGAUCCAGCAAUGCCGCGUGAGUGAAGAAGGCCUUCGGGUUGUAAAGCUCUUUCAGUUGAGAAGAAAAGAUUGUGACUAAUAAUCGCAAUUCAUGACAGUAUCAACAGAAGAAGCACCGGCUAACUACGUGCCAGCAGCCGCGGUAAUACGUAGGGUGCAAGCGUUAAUCGGAAUUAUUGGGCGUAAAGGGUGCGCAGGCGGUUUUGUAAGUCAGAUGUGAAAUCCCCGGGCUUAACCUGGGAAUUGCGUUUGAAACUACAAGACUAGAGUGUGGCAGAGGGGGGUGGAAUUCCAUGUGUAGCAGUGAAAUGCGUAGAGAUGUGGAAGAACAUCGAUGGCGAAGGCAACCCCCUGGGUUAACACUGACGCUCAGGCACGAAAGCGUGGGGAGCAAAC
rnacentral:rRNA from 1 species